CUACUAGCAAAUAUCAACCUGCAGCUCAAGACUGGUUACUCACUGAAGCUAAGCAGGGCUGAGCCUGGUCAGUACCUGGAUGGGAGACCACAUGGGAAAACUAGGUUGCUGUUAAA
ensembl:rRNA 5S_rRNA 5S ribosomal RNA